rnacentral:rRNA from 1 species
UCAAAAGAUCGAAUGAAGAGAUUCAUCGUCAAUAUGUUUAAUAUUAAUAUAUAUUGUGAUAUAAAUUUUUUUAAAUUUUUAUAGUUUAUAUAAAAUUUAUACAUGUAUAUAUUAUUUUAUUGUUUUACAUUGUCGGCGUGCACUUCUCUUCUAGUAGGACAUCGCAACCCGUUAGAUAUUGAUUUACGGCCAAAUUGGGUAGCCUUUAAUCGAAUAAUAUCAAUUAAAGACCAAUUUGUGUUUCCUAAUCAAAUAUCUGACGGUAUUCGUAUGGUAUUAAGUCGCAAAUAUAAUAUAUAUAUGCGUUCUUAUCCGUCGCAAGUGAGGCCAGUUUAAUAUUAUCUAGUAGUUGCGGACUUAGUACCGUCACUAGACCUGGCCAACUGUUAGCUGUUACGGUAUUCUAGAACUGACUUAAAAUAUAAUUAAUACCGGUUGGCGAUGCUACUGCUUUGGGUACUUUCAGGACCCGUCUUGAAACACGGACCAAGGAGUCUAACAUGUACGCAAGUCAUUGGGAU